rnacentral:rRNA from 1 species
AUUGAACGCUGGCGGCAGGCCUAGCACAUGCAAGUCGAGCGGAUGAAGGGAGCUUGCUCCUGGAUUCAGCGGCGGACGGGUGAGUAAUGCCUGGGAAUCUGCCUGGUAGUGGGGGAUAACGUCCGGAAACGGGCGCUAAUACCGCAUACGUCCUGAGGGAGAAAGUGGGGGAUCUUCGGACCUCACGCUAUCAGAUGAGCCUAGGUCGGAUUAGCUAGUUGGUGGGGUAAAGGCCUACCAAGGCGACGAUCCGUAACUGGUCUGAGAGGAUGAUCAGUCACACUGGAACUGAGACACGGUCCAGACUCCUACGGGAGGCAGCAGUGGGGAAUAUUGGACAAUGGGCGAAAGCCUGAUCCAGCCAUGCCGCGUGUGUGAAGAAGGUCUUCGGAUUGUAAAGCACUUUAAGUUGGGAGGAAGGGCAGUAAGUUAAUACCUUGCUGUUUUGACGUUACCAACAGAAUAAGCACCGGCUAACUUCGUG